rnacentral:rRNA from 1 species
AACAACUCACCUGCCGAAUGCAUUAGCCCUGAAAAUGGAUGGCGCUCAAGCGCGUGGCCGACACCGUGCCGUUGGAUUUACUGAUGAAUCCGAUGAGUAGGAGGGCGCGGGGGUAACUGGGGAAGUGCACGCGCAAGCGUGGAUGGAAGUGCCUCUGGUGCAGAUCUUGGUGGUAGUAGCAAAUAUUCAAGCGAGAUCCUUGAAGGGCGAAGCGGGGAAGGGUUCCACGCGAACAUUGAUUGGACGUGGGUGAGUCGUUCCUAAGCGAGGCGGCAAUCGCGCUUGCACACGCGAAAGGGAAGCCAGUUAAAAUUCUGGCGCACGGGCACGGACGUAGUGGUGACACGUUUUAACAUGAUGGGUGGGGGCGAGCACGCUGGCGAGCGCCUCGGGCAGAGUUGUCUUUUCUGUUUAAAUUUCUUGUGGCUGGUGUGGAAGAACGUUGCGUUGAGAAACACAGCCCGGGAUGAAGAGCGCUGCGAUUUGUGCAGCGUCCGGAGCGCGUUCGACGGCCCUUGAAACCUUGUCCUCCCAAUAGCUUUUUCUGUUUCCCUCUCGGGGGUUGCAGAGGGCUGAGAGUCCGUGGCGUGACGUACCGAUAACCGCAUCCGGUCCCCAGGUCUCAGACACUCUGCUCAGUAUGAAUAAU